GCCAGCGUAGUAUAUUGGUUUGAACGUUGUGCUGCAGCUCUGGAGGCCAGGGUUCAAAUCCCUGCUUGAGCU